UAUAUUUUUAAAUAUUUAUUUAUAUAUUUAUUAGAAUACUAAAUUUCACAUUCCAAAAACCCUACCUCACCCCUCAACUCUAAACCCUAAAUCUAGAUUAGUUAACCCUAAGGGUAUAAUUGUUUUUUACCUUUCAUUAAAAGUGAAGGUAAAAGUGGUUAGUGUAAAGUGUAAACAUGAAAAGUGGUACUAUAAAUGUGCUAUUUGUGGUAAUUUCCCACUAAAGAACUAAACUGGAUUAAAUUAAAAAAUAUGGUAUAGUUUUGAUGGUAUAACAAAUAUCAAUUUAACUUUACUAAAUCUCAUCAAAAUAUAUUAAGUGUAAACAAUGUAAAAUUAAUUCCUUGAAUAUAAAACUAACAAUAUAAUGGUUUGUUUGUACUUAUAUAAAAUAUAUAUACAUAUAAACUGAUAGUUUAUACUUUUAAUUGAAUAUAUAUUUACAUAGAAUUUUCUAUAAAAAAAAUUCUUAUUGAUUUGUGUCAUUUUGAACCAGUCAAACUUGAAACCAGAUAUAUUUAUUAAUUUAUGAGUGUUAAUUAUAGAGUUUCUAAUGUAGCUAUUUCAUAUUAUUAUAUUUGAAAAUCUAAUAACUUUUAAAAUUUGAAUAUAUGAGGAUUAUCUUCUCCCUCUUCCUUUUCUUCCUUUCCAAUUCCUUAUGAAUAUACAAAUAUAUAAUAUUUCAGAUAUAUGUAUAUAUAUAUAUAUAUAGUACUAAACAUAUAAUACUUUCUUGUUCACUUUAUGAAAAUUAUAUUUAUUUUUAAUAAAUGUGGAUAUAUAUAUUUUUCCUGUUUAACUGAUUUGUUUGGCAAUUGUUAUUGCUCUUGCCAAUUAUUUCAAGAUUUGGUUUAUUAUUAUAUAUUAAUUUUAUGUAUGUUUGGACAACUGAUAUAUAGAGAAUUUGAAGAAAUUAAUGUUGUUAACAAAGAAAAGGUGUUGAAAAUCUCAAAUAAUUAUUUAAAUAUACAGCAUAUAAACCUAAAUAAUGAGAUAAAAUACAAAUGUACAAUUGUGUACAAACAAUAAAGACAUAAAAAAAAUUCAAACACUCACAACUUUAUAAUGGAUCAUAUGGUAGAAGAGGAAAUUUUGGAGCGUCUUCCGGUGAAAUCUUUGUGUAGAUUCAAAUCUGUAUCAUAACAAUGGAAAUCGAUGAUCGAAUCCAGCUAUCUUGCCAAAAAACGUCUUGUCCGAUUUCCAGAUCUAGUACUCUUUCUUCUUAAAUCAGAAAAGUUUAAAGAUGAUCAAAGUUCAAAAACCAUUUUUUUGAAACCUUAUGGCGUCGAAGAAAAAAUUACAAUUUGUUCUUACAAGCUUCCGGAUCGACAUUGUGAAUUUUAUCACGAUCAUAGAGCUCGAAUUGUGGGGUAUUGCGAUGGGUUGGCUUGCAUCUAUCAUCUUGGAUACAUAUAUAUAAUUAACACCACAAUUAGAAAAUUUCGGAUACUUUCUCCUGAUUUUUUGCGAAACUACGCAUUCUUAUCAGGUACUUAACACUCUUUAAUUCAGUGAGUCUUUGGUGUGCUCGUGGCCAGCUAAGGUGACAGAAGGAUAUGAGUUCUCAAAAAUCUGAACUUAUGUUUCCAUGUUAUAAUUAUGAAAUUUAUUUAUAUAUACAAUACAAAAAUUUACACUUUAACAAAUUAGAUUAAAAAGAACCUAAAAUAUUAUUCAUUUGUUUAAAAAAUUAGUAGACGUCAUUUUAAAAUAUAAAUAUUAAAGGUUUACGAAAAAAAGUCCUAAGAUCCAUAAAAAAAAGUUAAACUAACCUUGAGUGUGCUAAUCAAAUUCCUAACCAUUUAUAUAUAAAUAUAUACUAGAUUUUGACCCGCGCUUUCAAAGCGCGGGAUCGUUACUUUUGUAAAAUUUCAUUUAAAUUAAUAAAUAUUUAUCUAAUCUAUAUUUUAAUAGAUUUUUAUUUGUUUAUGGUCAAUUUUUAUAACAUUAUCUUCUUUAUUUUAUUUUUAUUAUUAAAAAUAAAAAUGUUUGUUUGUGAACUAAUUAAUUAGUUAAAAUAUUUUAAAAUGGUAAACAUCUACUCAAUAAAUUUAAUCAUAUUGUAAUGAUAUAUUUGGUAAGGUUAUUUAUUUAUAAUUUUAACUUAUUAAAUAAAUAUUAUAUGAAAAAUGUAAUAGGCAUUUCAUUUUUCAUUCUACAUAUUUUUAAUUCAUGCAUAAUUUUUAAAUUAUAAUAACAGAAAUAUUUAAUAAUUAUUAUGUAUUUAAAUUGGCUUAUACAUAGUUGGUUUUAAAAGAAAACACUGUUGGGCUUUGGUUUGUUUAGGAUUUGUUUUUUGUUAGAUAAAAUGGGCUAGAAUUGCCCAAAGAGAGCAACAAAUCUGUUAUGUCAAAAUCUAUGUUUUUGUGGCCGUUUGGUUAAAAAAAAAACAGAAAAGGGAAAGUAGAAAAAAAAUAUUUCUCGAUCCAAUUUUUCUUUGAGGAAUCGACGACACGCUAGAACUGAAAUAGAGAAUCGAUGAGAGAAUCAGUGGGUAGAUCUAUCGAUCUUGAUGGAUAGGGCGUUGGUGAAGAUUGAAACUGUUGAUUGGUGAAUGUUUCUCAUGAAUCGGGUAUUAAUUAUAAGCAAACCAUAAAUUUCGAUUUGAUUUCCUUUCCUCUUGGCAUAAUAAUUGUUUUAUUCUGCAGGUUCACAGAUAAAGAAGAUGAAAUGGGUAAUUUGCUUACAAUUGAAAAAGGAAUUGAAUGUCAACUUAAUGGGCUUAAAAAACACGAAAAUGUCGGUCAAAAUCACCAAUGAAUGUAGGAUUUGGAAAAGACAUCGUUACAGGAGCAUACAAAGUCGUUCUGAUGUAUUUAUACGACCGCAUUGCUACUAAGACUCUUAUCAAGACCCACGUCUUUAACCUCAGCAACGGCGAACGAAGAUGCAUUUAUUUUCCCUAUGUUGAGAAUCAAUUUAACAUUGAUAAAAUAUCCACAUUUGCAAAUGGAUCUCUUUAUUGGCUGAAUAAUAUAACCUAACCAUUACGGCAUUGGAUCUUCAUACAGAACUGUUUUACGAGGUACUGCCACCAAGUUGCUUCACCAAAUACUCCAACAAAGUGUAUUUAUGGAGCCUAAAAGAUCGCUUAUGCCUAUGUGAAGUGGAAGAUUUAUCAGAUGUAGACAUAUGGGGCUUGCAACAAGAAGGUUCGAGUGUCAAGUGGGAGAAGUUUCUUUCAGAUUCUGCAUUUAGUAAGGAGUGUUUUGAGCAUCCUUAUUGGAUGACUGGCGUUUUGACUUGUUACCAGAUUUACGAGGAUGCGAGCACCGCAUUGUGUACGAAGGAUUUGGCUGCUUUGCUCUAGUUUCAUGUUCAUUGUUUUAAAGUACAUGGUUCUUUGUAUCCCAACAAGAACAUAAUAUAUAGUAUAUGUUAUUUUGAAUUUACACAUCCACUUCCUUGCAAGCACUGGCCACUUGUAGAUGACAUGAGAGCGUAUUGGGUUCCCUCGCUUCAGCAGCCCUUUCAACUUGUUCUUCUUGUUUUGA